CCUGAGACCCUAACUUGUGA
rnacentral:ncRNA from 10 species